AUGUUUUUGUAAAAUUUAUGCAUAAAAAGCAGCCUUCUUGGAUUUUAGAUUGGUAUAAAUGCUUUUAAUACCAUGUAGGUUCAUGAUACAAUAUACUUUGUAUAUAUUUGAUAUAGACACAUCAACUUUAUGGUAUUUAAAAUGAAGGAGUGCAGUCAAACCUGAAUUGUAUUUUCAAUGUACAAUGUUCAAAAUCAACUCAUACGUCUUGAAAUUAUAGAUUAUUGUAACUUUUACAAUCGGCCUUUUCCUUUUCCUUAUCAAUAUCAAAUUUUUCAAAACAGAAUUCCCAUGAUGAAGAUACUCUAUCAUGAAUUAUUAAUACAAUGAUUUAUUGGGGAACAAAAAUGCAUUUAUCAGAUAGAUCUCCAACUGAGCAUGCUCCAAAAUAAGCAUAACAUGGAUUGUAUGUAAAAAUAUAGCCUAACUCAAACAGAAAAUUACCAAUGACACAUUUACUUACUUGUAGGUUCAACUUUGUA
rnacentral:lncRNA from 1 species